rnacentral:rRNA from 1 species
UUAAAGAGUUCUAUAACUCCCAAACCCAUGUGAACAUACCUAACGUUGCCUCGGCAGGUCGCACCUACCUUGUAGCACCCUACCCUGUAGGGCCUACCCGGGAGGUGCGGGUAAGCCUGCCGGCGGCCCACCAAACUCUGUUUGAUAUUGAAUUCUGAACCUAUAACUAAAUAAGUUAAAACUUUCAACAACGGAUCUCUUGGUUCUGGCAUCGAUGAAGAACGCAGCGAAAUGCGAUAAGUAAUGUGAAUUGCAGAAUUCAGUGAAUCAUCGAAUCUUUGAACGCAUAUUGCGCCCAUUAGUAUUCUAGUGGGCAGGACCGUUCGAGCGUCAUUUCAACCCUUAAGCCUUCGUUGCUUAGUGUUGGGAGCCUACGGCAACGUAGCUCCUCAAAGUUAGUGGCGGAGUUGGUUCACACUCUAGACGUAGUAAUUUUUUAUCUCGCCUAUUAGUUGGACUAAUCCCCUGCCGUAAAACCCCUAAUUUAUCAAGGUUGACCUCGAAUCGGUUCAGACAAACUCGCUAAAUUGAAGCAUCUUAGUCAGCGAAGGAAAAGAAACCAACAGGGAUUGCCCUAGUAACGGCGAGUGAAGCGGCAACAGCUCAAAUUUGAAAUCUGGCCCUCGGGUCCGAGUUGUAAUUUGUAGAGGAUGCUUUUGGCGCG